GUGAGGAAUUUUGCGCAAUGGCCGCAAGGCUGACGCAGCAACGCCGCGUGGGUGAUGAAGGCCUUCGGGUCGUAAAGCCCUGUCAGGUGGGAAGAAAGGCUUGGAGAAGCAACGCUUUGAGUUUGACGGUACCACCAGAGGAAGCACCGGCUAACUCCGUGCCAGCAGCCGCGGUAAUACGGAGGGUGCGAGCGUUAUUCGGAAUUACUGGGCGUAAAGCGCGUGUAGGCGGGGAUGCAAGUCUGAUGUGAAAGCCCUGGGCUUAACCUGGGAAGUGCAUUGGAAACUGCAUUUCUUGAGUACUUGAGAGGAAGGGGGAAUUCCCGGUGUAGAGGUGAAAUUCGUAGAGAUCGGGAGGAAUACCAGUGGCGUAGGCGCCCUUCUGGACGGUAACUGACGCUGAGACGCGAAAGCGUGGGGAGCAAACAGGAUUAGAUACCCUGGUAGUCC
rnacentral:rRNA from 1 species